rnacentral:rRNA from 1 species
UACGUAGGUGGCAAGCGUUGUCCGGAAUUAUUGGGCGUAAAGCGCGCGCAGGCGGUCCUUUAAGUCUGAUGUGAAAGCCCACGGCUCAACCGUGGAGGGUCAUUGGAAACUGGGGGACUUGAGUACAGAAGAGAAGAGUGGAAUUCCACGUGUAGCGGUGAAAUGCGUAGAGAUGUGGAGAACACCAGUGGCGGAAGGCGCUCUUUGGUCUGUAACUGACGCUGAGGCGCGAAAGCGUGGGGAGCAAACAGGAUAGAA